rnacentral:lncRNA from 1 species
CAAUAAAGAGGCUGAGAAUAAUUGGCAAAAUUGACUCAGAGAUCCUCAUAAUAGUUUCGAUAUUAUUAACCGUCGGUUGAACUAACGGCUCUAGCCAUUCGGUUCUAUAUAUGAACAGACUGGAUGAAAUUUGACCUAAAAUAGAACUAGAAAUAAAAAGGAGUGAACGAUGAAUAGUGGUAGAAAAAGUCUUAGGUUUACAGAAAAAAAAAUUUUUGGUGCCGUGAAUCUUUAAGCUGAUUUUUACUAUAUUGGGGGCGAGAAAUGGAAAUAUGGAUUUCGUUUUUUUGUAUCAGCUCUAGUUUUAUGGAUAUGGCACAUUCCGAAAUUAGUAGUUUUAUUAUUUGAGAUAAUAAAGAUAUGCUAUUCAAAGAAA